GACGAACGCUGGCGGCGUGCUUAACACAUGCAAGUCGAACGGAAAGGCCCUGCUUUUGUGGGGUGCUCGAGUGGCGAACGGGUAAGUAACACGUGAGUAACCUGCCCUUGCCUUUGGGAUAACUUCAGGAAACUGGGGCAAAUACCGGAUAGGAGCUCCUGCUGCAUGGUGGGGGUUGGAAAGGUUCGGCGGUUGGGGAUGGACUCGCGGCUUAUCAGCUUGUUGGUGGGGUAGUGGCUUACCAAGGCUUUGACGGGUAGCCGGCCUGAGAGGGUGACCGGCCACAUUGGGACUGAGAUACGGCCCAGACUCCUACGGGAGGCAGCAGUGGGGAAUAGUGCACAAUGGGCGGAAGCCUGAUGCAGCAACGCCGCGUGCGGGAUGACGGCCUUCGGGUUGUAAACCGCUUUCGCCUGUGACGAAGCGUGAGUGACGGUAAUGGGUAAAGAAGCACCGGCUAACUACGUG
rnacentral:rRNA from 1 species